UACGAAGGGGGCUAGCGUUGUCCGGAAUUACUGGGCGUAAAGCGUGCGUAGGUGGCCAGACAAGUCAGAGGUGAAAUCCCAGGGCUCAACCCUGGAAUUGCCUUUGAAACUGUAUGGCUUGAGUCUCGGAGGGGGUAGCGGAAUUCCAAAUGUAGGGGUGAAAUCCGUAGAUAUUUGGAGGAACACCGGUGGCGAAGGCGGCUACCUGGACGAGAACUGACACUAAGGCACGAAAGCGUGGGGAGCAAACAGG
rnacentral:misc_RNA from 1 species